UCCACGCUGUAAACGAUGUGCACUAGGUGUUGGGGAUAGGAUCCUCAGUACCGUAGCAAACGCGUUAAGUGCACCGCCUGGGGAGUAUGCCGGCAACGGUGAAACUCAAAGGAAUUGACGGGGGCCCGCACAAGCGGUGGAGCAUGUGGUUUAAUUCGAUACGCGAGGAACCUUACCAGGGCUUGACAUAAUAAUGGCGGCAAUAGAGAUAUUGUUUUCUCUUCGGAGACAUU
rnacentral:rRNA from 1 species